GAUUGCAGAUCCCGUGACCAUCGAGUUUUUGAACGCAAGUUGCGCCCGAAGCCGUCUGGCCGAGGGCACGUCUGCCUGGGUGUCAAGAAACGUCGCCAAACGUCCCUCUCCGCACCCUCCCCACCCGAGGGGGGUGAGCAUCGAGGGCGGGCGGAUAUUGGCCUCCCGUGCGCGAUUGCUCGCGGUUGGCCCAAAAGAGAGUACCCCGGCGAGGCAGCCACGGCGUGCGGUGGUAGAAAGCGUAUGCCCUCCUCGGACACCGUCGUGGGCCGACCUCGUGGGGGCAGGAAAGACUAACUAAGGCCCCGAUGCGAAGUCGUGUUUCGCGAAGCGACCCCAGGUCAGGCGGGAGCACCCGCUGAGUUUAAGCAUAUCAAUAAGCGGAGGAA
rnacentral:rRNA from 1 species